rnacentral:lncRNA from 1 species
AAGUAAAUUAAAUUUGAAUGGGUAGGAAGGAGAGCAAAAUUUAGCUUAGCUUGUCUUUUCUGUGAAAAAGUUAAUAUGGCACAGUGCCCAGGCAAAUUCAGCUUGCUCUGUGCUGUAGUGCUGUUCUGCAGCUAACAAACUAGACCUGACUUGCACCCUGCGUUAGCCUGGUGAGCAGACAUGCCCUAAGGGUAUGUCUAUGCUGUAGGACAGAGUUGAGACCUGGACUUGGUUUGGCAAACCUGAGCUCUUGGCCAGCAGGGGUGUGAUGUGAGGUGGGUGUCCUUGGCUCUGGGAUGGGGUGAGGAGGAGGAACAGGGAGGUGUCCAACCUCAGAAAGUCUUGUGAUGCAUCUGAGGAUUGAGGUUGGGUGGUAGAAGGGCAUUUGGGGCUGGCACAUGCUGUGCUCACUGAUGGGAUGCUCAUCCCAUGGAGAUCGUGCAGGAAGUCAUGGCCAGGAUCAUUUGUGUGAGGGCAUGUAACUGGAAAACUAUAAAAAUGGCAGGAAGAAGUAGAACUUGCUUCUAAUGAGAAGAAUGAAAGAUGCUGCAAUACAUACUAAAUUCCUUUCUUUUUCUUUCUUUUUUCAUUCCUUAUCUUCUGGUUGCAAGUUUCUGCUUCUCAAGUACCAGACUCUUCUGUGUUUGCUUUGUCUCUAAUCUACCACCUCUCCUAAUACAUGAGGAAAGUACUUCUACAACCUGAAUGAUUCCAUGAUUCUGUUUAGUGAUGGGACAAGGGGCUUUUUUUCUCUGAGCUGAGCAGUGUGCCACGAGAUAGAAAAUGAUGGCAAGGAGAUGGAGAGUGAAGGCACUGUGCCCAAGUCAAGGUGUGAGGAAGCCCCAGUGGUUGUGUUUGCUCACAGCCUGUUUUUCCACUGAAUGCUGCCAGCCUCCAGGCUGCUUGAACACCACAUGCUGCUUGCAUUGCUGUCUUCUCAUCUCCCACCCCUUGAUGUCCCCUAAGCCCUGAGGAUGCAGGAGAGCAUUGCUGGUGUUCCUUUAGAGUUUGAAGUAGUUUCUUUCCCCAAAGGUAUGCACCCAGAAGAAAUAGCUGCUCCCAAGCACCAGGUAAUGCUGAAUUACUACAGACUCCUGUUUGUGUGCUGUUCCUUUUAGCUACAAUUAUGGCAAAAUUGCCAUCGUGUAAGCAGCAGGCUGUAUGAAUAGCUUUAUUAUUUAUUAUUGUUAGACCUAGAUGUGUGUUUUUCUUUAGAUCAUAUCUGCACAAGAAGGCACAGCAAUAAUAGUCUUUUGGCUGCCGGAGCAUUAGCCAGGUUUAAUUUCUAAAGACCAUGAAGCUUCUGAAGCACGGUGCUGUUUAUUGCUUUCUUUGUCCAAUCAGUCACGGUGGAGAUGGCUCUGCUUUUUCCAGCUGAGUUCUUGUGAGGGUGGGCAGUCAGGUCGUGUUUGUGCUCCCUGGCUGGCAUCAGCGAAAAGUCUCUUGUUACAGCCCAGUGCCAGGCUAUUUUAAGCUGCAGGAUUCCCCUUUUAUGGAAUUAUUUUUCAUGUGAGUUUAACUCCGGUGCUCAUCGGCACUCUUUUCUGUUUCCUUCCUAUGUGACAUGAAAGCCAAUUUGGGGUAGCCAUAUAAUAGCUGUCUGAGUGUUGGAAACGUGACCAGAAAUGGAUCAAGAAGGAGGAAGAAGAGAUCGUGCCUUCUUUCCAAGGUCCUCUAUCAGGAGCUGAGGGGAUCGGCUUCUUUCACUGCUGGAUCUCAGUAUAUUUCGAAACAAUCCCAGGGUUUUGAAAGAGAAGGGUUUUGACAUUUACUGUUUGGUGUUGGCAGGGCUGGAUAAGGGAGAUAAAGUGGCCUGUGACAGAGCACACAAGCUAUCUGUGAUCUGUUGUGCAACGACCGUCAGCGAAUCUGCGUCUUUGUGUGUUUAAAGUGUAUUUCCUGACAUUUACUAGCAAUUUUAAAGGGAUUUACUCUUUGCUGUUUCAUAAUCUCUGGUUCAGAGUAAAUUUGC